ACGGGGCCCGCACAAGCGGCGGAGCAUGCGGAUUAAUUCGAUGCAACGCGAAGAACCUUACCAAGGCUUGACAUACACCGGUAACGCCCAGAGAUGGGUGCCCCUUUGUGGUCGGUGGACAGGUGGUGCAUGGUUGUCGUCAGCUCGUGUCGUGAGAUGUUGGGUUAAGUCCCGCAACGAGCGCAACCCUCGUCCUAUGUUGCCAGCGGGUCAUGCCGGGGACUCAUGGGAGACUGCCGGGGUCAACUCGGAGGAAGGUGGGAUGACGUCAAAUCAUCAUGCCCCUUAUGUCUUGGGCUUCACGCAUGCUACAAUGGCCGGUACAAAGGGCUGCGAUACCGCGAGGUGGAGCGAAUCCCAGAAAGCCGGUCUCAGUUCGGAUUGGGGUCUGCAACUCGACCCCAUGAAGUCGGAGUCGCUAGUAAUCGCAGAUCAGCAACGCUGCGGUGAAUACGUUCCCGGGCCUU
rnacentral:rRNA from 1 species